rnacentral:rRNA from 1 species
CUGCAUGGCUGUCGUCAGCUCGUGUCGUGAGAUGUUGGUUAAGUCCCGCAACGAGCGCAACCCUUGCCAUCAGUUGCUACGAAAGGGCACUCUGAUGGGACUGCCGGUGACAAACCGGAGGAAGGUGGGGAUGACGUCAAGUCCUCAUGGCCCUUAUAGGUGGGGCUACACACGUCAUACAAUGGCCGGUACAAAGGGCAGCAAACCCGCGAGGGGGAGCCAAUCCAUCAAAGCCGGUCGUAGUCCGGAUCGCAGUCUGCAACUCGACUGCGUGAAGUCGGAAUCGCUAGUAAUCGUGGAUCAGCAUGUCACGGUGAAUACGUUCCCGGGCCUU